AUCUCUGCCCCUCAGAGUCCUGGGGAGGAUGGAUGGAACAGGAGGAGCAUCAUGAGAAGGCUUCCUGUAAACUACGGAGGGUGAGGGGACGGAGCGUGAGGGAACGUCGUGAGAUGGUGCUCGUGGAAGCCAGCAGAGGGUGUAGGGUCUCCUGGAGCCACAUCUCUGGAGUUACAUGAAGUUGUGGACCUCUCAACAUGGGUUCUGGGAACUGAACCCAGGUCCUCUGGAAGGACAUCGAGUGCUCUUAACCACUGAGCCAUCUCUGCAGCCUAACCCCAUCCCUUGGAGGCUGAAGCAAAGCAAGUUCAAUGACCGUGCGACCUGGCUCUUGUUUGGGCCUAAGGAAAAGCCGACUGUAAGCCGGAAAGCAUCUCUGGCAAGAACAAGGAAGGAUUAAGCACGUCUGUGGUUGUGCGCAGGGAUCACAAGGUGCUCCUGCAGUGGGAAGAGCCACCACUAGGGGCGCUCCAAGUCUUGUAUUUUCUACCUUGAAAACUCGUUUCCCUGUGGCUGCCCUCCAAAUCCAACGGAGAUGAAUGGCUUUUAGUUUACCUAGCUGAUUUAAUAAACUUUAAAAAUAAAUGU
ensembl:lincRNA Bvht braveheart long non-coding RNA